UACAGAGGUGGCAAGCGUUGUUCGGAAUUACUGGGCGUAAAGGGCGCGUAGGCGGCCUUCUAAGUCGAACGUGAAAUCCCCGGGCUCAACCCGGGAACUGCGUCCGAUACUGGAAGGCUUGAAUCCGGGAGAGGGAUGCGGAAUUCCAGGUGUAGCGGUGAAAUGCGUAGAUAUCUGGAGGAACACCGGUGGCGAAGGCGGCAUCCUGGACCGGCAUUGACGCUGAGGCGCGAAAGCUAGGGGAGCAAACGGG
rnacentral:rRNA from 1 species